rnacentral:rRNA from 1 species
GAUGAACGCUGGCGGCGUGCCUAAUACAUGCAAGUCGAGCGAACGGACGAGAAGCUUGCUUUUCUGAUGUUAGCGGCGGACGGGUGAGUAACACGUGGAUAACCUACCUAUAAGACUGGGAUAACUUCGGGAAACCGGAGCUAAUACCGGAUAAUAUUUUGAACCGCAUGGUUCAAAAGUGAAAGACGGUCUUGCUGUCACUUAUAGAUGGAUCCGCGCUGCAUUAGCUAGUUGGUAAGGUAACGGCUUACCAAGGCAACGAUGCAUAGCCGACCUGAGAGGGGGAUAGGCCGCCCUGGAACGGGGCCACGGUCCAGGCGCCUACGGGAGGGAGCAGUAGGGAAUCUUCCGCAAUGGGCGAAAGCCUGACGGAGCAACGCCGCGUGAGUGAUGAAGGUCUUCGGAUCGUAAAACUCUGUUAUGAGGGAAGAACAUAUGUGUAAGUAACUGUGCACAUCUUGACGGUACCUAAUCAGAAAGCCACGGCUAACUACGUG